rnacentral:rRNA from 1 species
UACGGAGGGUGCAAGCGUUGUUCGGAAUUACUGGGCGUAAAGCGAGUGUAGGCGGCUCUGUAAGUUGGAUGUGAAAUCCCUCGGCUCAACCGAGGACGUGCAUCCAAAACUACAGAGCUUGAGUUUCGGAGGGGGUGGCGGAAUUCCCGGUGUAGAGGUGAAAUUCGUAGAUAUCGGGAGGAACACCUGUGGCGAAGGCGGCCACCUGGACGAAUACUGACGCUGAGACUCGAAAGCAUGGGUAGCAAACAGG